AUGGCAAAGGUACCCUAUACUACUAGGAGAAUCAUAGCAUAGCAUAGAUACAAUAGUAAUCAUAAUAAUGCAACUAAUAAAAUCUAGUGCAUAAUAAAAUAAUGGGAUGAUGGUCAACGUGAACUUGCCUUGAUAGUAGUUGGUAUUCAAACACUCUUCGCAAUCACACAGUUCGCUCUCCGAGAAAACUAAUCAAAUAAACAUUGCAUACAUAAACACACAAUACAAUCAAGAG
rnacentral:lncRNA from 1 species